rnacentral:rRNA from 1 species
AGCAUAUCAAUAAGCGGAGGAAAAGAAACUAACAAGGAUUCCCCUAGUAACGGCGAGUGAAGCGGGAAGAGCUCAAAUUUGGAAUCUCACUGGUCUCCAGUGCGAGUUGUAGUUUAUAGAAGUGUUUUCGGUGGACGCCUGGGUAUAAGUCCUUUGGAACAGGGCAUCAUAGAGGGUGAGAAUCCCGUCCAUGACCCAGAGUUGAUCACUAUGUGAUACACUUUCGAAGAGUCAGGUUGUUUGGGAAUGCAGCCUAAAAUGGGUGGUAAAUGCCAUCUAAAGCUAAAUAUUGGCGAGAGACCGACAGCGAACAAGUACCGUGAGGGAAAGAUAAAAAGAACUUUGAAAAGAGAGUUAAACAGUACGUGAAAUUGUUGAAAGGGAAACGUUUGAAACCAGCGAUGCUUGCGGGUGAUCACUCCUGGUGCUCUCACCCGUCGGCAAGUCAGCGUCAGUUUUGGUUGCCGGAAAAAGAAUCAAGGGAAUGUGGCUUCCUCCGGGGAGUGUUAUAGCCCUGGUACGUACGGUGGCUGGGACUGAGGUCUGCAGUCAAAUCCUGGAGGCCCGGCUGCUGGGGGUAGAUCGGUCUUAGACAGCUUGCUGACUGGGGCUGAUUCUGUCUCCACACGGUCGGAGGUCUCUCAAAUGGCUUAGGU